rnacentral:tRNA from 1 species
GCGGCAGUAGCUCAGUUGGUUAGAGCGUCGGAUUCUGAUUCCGGAUGUCGGGGGUUCGAGUCCCCUCUGCCGCC